rnacentral:tRNA from 1 species
CGUUCAUGGCUCAGUUGGGUGGAGCAGUGGUUUGUGGCACCAAUCUUUGUCUAGGUGCCGAGCAUGCGUUCGAUCCGAACAAGAUCGCC